UAUAAUCUUCCUUUCAGCACGUCAUUUAUAUAUUUAAUAAAUAAUAAUAAUAACAUUUUACAGUCACAGGUCACAGAUAAGAAUCAGUGGCCUUGAUAUGGUUUAGAGCCAGUCAACAUCUUGGUCACUCCCAAAUUGAGCUGGCGGUUGCCUUGUAGCAGAGCCAUCAUAAAAAAA
rnacentral:lncRNA from 1 species